rnacentral:rRNA from 1 species
GUCUACAGGCAUGCCACCCUGAACAAGCCCGAUCCUGUCUGAUCUCGGAAGCUAAGCAGGGUCGGGCCUGGUUAGUACUUGGAUGGGAGACCACCUAAAAAGACCAGGUACUGUAGGCG